GUAUUUUUUCAGGUCAAAGUGACAUGAUAAAACACUUGGGCUUGGGUGCUUAAAUUGGAGACUGUCAAAUUGGCCCAUUCAGAAACAGAGGAAGCAUCCAAUCAUGUGAAAAAAAAAGCAAGUUUCCUGAAAAACAGACUAGGCCUAGGCGUGGUGAUUAUCGUUGUGCAAUUGCACCAAGCAACCGUGUUACUGGUUUUGUCACCUUGUCUAGUCUUGGCCCGAUCUGGGUGCUUUUGGAAAAAACGAAACCUUUGUUAAACCCAUGGAAUUAACUGAGAGCAGAGAAAGCAGAGCAACGAAGAAGCAGCAGAAACAAGAAAAUGAUUGGAUUACCUGGUAAUCCAUUUUCUUUCUUUACCAUGCCCUUAUUCAACUUAAUUGGCCUUUUGGGUUUUUUAGUUUCAUUUCCAAGAUACAUUUUUUUAUUAUAAACGCACUGAUCCUAGAAAUUAAAUGUCUUACUCCUAGGUUCUUUAUUGGUAUAUUACUGGGAUCGUUUAGAUUCCUAGUAAAGCAGUGGUUUUUUUUAUGUAUAAGUGAGAUCAUUAAUUGACUUUUAUGUAAUAAUGCUAUUAUUAUUGUUGUAACCAUUCCAGAUAUUUAAAAGUUUGAAACAUAGAAGUGUUAGAGGCUUAGUUUUGUAGCCUUUGAGUUUGAAGUAGUUGGUUAUACCAUUGCCUUCAUAAAGGACUACCUUUUUCAGCUUAUGGAGAAUUGGCAUUUCUUUUGUUCCAAGGAAGGAAAAACAUAUAUAUGUUUCCUUAACAUGAUGGCAUUUCAGAUAUUGUGCUAUAGCACCAACGGUCAUAGCUUGUCAAAUUGAUCCUAUUCUUUUUGAAGCUCUAUAUGUGAGUAGCCACUUUCACUGUCCCUACUGUAUUUAGAAGACAUUGUUGAGCACAUACUGCCUUACUUGCAUUCCUCUAUGUUCUUUUACCUUUUUUCUCUCAUCAACUUAUGGUUUUGGGGAUAAUAUUUUCUAAGAUAUCCGUGUCCUAAUGUUUGGAAGCUUGAAUUUUGCAACUAUGAAGCUCUUAUAUGGCUAACACUAUUUUAAUGUGGACAAAACGUGCUACAGACAUCUCAGCAUGCAAUUAUUAUUAUUAUUUUUUUUUUUGCCAGGGUGCCCCUAAUAUGGAAGAACUUUUCUGUAAGUAUAACUUGAAUUCCAUAUAAUUUAUUAACGAACAUUUUGGUUUCUGAAAUUGCCAAGUAUUGGCAAUUAAGGGAAGAAACUUCUAAACCUUUCUCAGAUAUAUACUUUACAAACAUCUGUAAAUCUGUAUAAGGGUUUGAUUCUUGUAAAUUGUCAUUCCUUUUUUACAUUUGCUCGAAAGUGUACUAACUGAAGGGGGCUGGUAUUUCAUAAUCCUUAAAUGCUGAUAUAACAUGUAAAAACUCUUAGCUUCUAGCUAUGUUUUUGCCUGCGAGUGAUAUACUGCUGUUAUGUUGAAAACAUAGUGUGUAGGAUGGCGGGAAAUCAUCAAUACCCAGUGUUUGUUGCACAGUUGCACCAUCCUUUGAUAAAAGGAGACCAAAGCCUAUUUAUAAUCCAACCAAUUAAAAUAAAGAAAGGCUUCAUUCUUUGGUAGAUUCAGUAAACUUCUAUAACUCAAUAGUUCUAUCUAGUAAAUUGGUAAUUUAUUUAACUAGUAUAUAACUAAAUCCGGGUCAGGUUCCACAAAAUGAUAAUGAGUUCUUCUGUUGGUUCUGCUUACUGUCUUAUUGCAAGUCCUGUGACUUAUUUAUUUAUAUCACAUCCUACAUAUGCUUUUAGCUAAUUCUCUAAUGUUGAUAAUGAACAGUUAUUUUUUUUAGUAGAAUAAAAGUACUGGGGUGCGCAGCUUCUUAACAUGCUUAAUGAAUUCUGGUGGCUCCCUUGGUAAGAUCGUAUUAUUAAUGGAGCUAUUGGAGUAUCAUAUGUUUAUAGAGCCAUAGAGAAAGUGUUGUUCUAUGCCGAUGAUAAGGUAGAAGCUAAGUUCAUUUGAUAGUUUUCUCUUGCAAUGAAAGUAUUUACCAAGAUCCAGGAAAAAGCAAAAACAAGUGUUAUUAUGGGCUCUGUACUUGGUGUUCUGACAAAUGGCACAAUCCUGAGUCAAAUUACUGUAUAUCAGAAGCCUCAAGCCCAGGCCCAGAAGGAAAAGAAAGAAAAGUAGAAUGAUCUCACGUUACAGCUAUGGAAAUUUGUUGGUCUUAAAGAUGAUGCUAGUUUAGAUUUUAGUGUAAUGAAUUACCGGGCUUUUUUUUUUAAAUGAGAUUCUUUAUCUCUAAUAUGCUUCUCUUUAUGAAUCAUGCUGCUGUUAAUGAGGCGUUUAGGCUAAGCGAGGUAGUUGUCAAUGCAUAGACCACAAGAAGACAAUCUUUCAAGAUGUAGUUCUGAAUUUUGUGAUGAAUUGAAGACUUUGUCCGAAGUUUCCCAUAGAUUUUCAUUGGUGUUCCCGGUCUUGUCGAUCAAUCUGGGUCGGAUCACGGGAAUGGUAACCCUCGGAUGACAGAACUAAGAUCACAAGCUAAGGUUUCUGUCCAAUCAUAAGUUACCGGUCAACCAUGCAAUCUACAGUGGUUUUGUCAUGAUAUUUCAUCUUUUUAGGAUUCUAACACAGAUGGCGAUGGUUCACAGCGGUCCGUAUACUUUUUGUCUGUGCUCUCCAGCCUUGCUAGAUAAUAUGCAUCAAACAAUGCUUUCUUUUUUUUUUUAAUCUUUUUAGGUUGCAAGAGGUAGCCUCCAUGAAUUUUCCCAUGUCAUGUCAUGAAGAAAGCAAAAACCAAGAGUGGGUUCGGAGGGAAAGAAAGCAUUGCCAUUUGCCAUAGGAGAAUGGCUAAGAAAAGUUGAAAAGUAAAAGGGGUACAUAAUUCAUUAGAAAGAAAAUGGUUGCCACCAAUCCAAGUGGGAUAUAGCAUAAGCUGUAAAGAUAUCAGAAAGCGUGGAAGGCAGGCAAUGGUAGAAGAAAGCGUGAAUUCUGUGAUAAGAUAAUGCUUUUUGGAAAUGUUAGGUUGGGUGGCCACUGGCGUCAAAAUUUCCAUCAAAUUGAACUAUUCUAUUUCUAGAUAUCGUUAUCAUUCAACCGAAACAUGAAAAUAUCCUAAUGUCAAGUUUGGAAAAAAUUAACACCACGCAUUGCAAAUGUGAAAGUUUUACCAUUGUGAUGGACCAAUUGCUUUCAAAAGCAAAAGUCUCCGGUCUCCAGCAUUUUUUAGGGCAGUUUCGAAUUAAUUUUCUAGGCAGGAAUGUGAGAGAUGUCAAUGACAUGAGACUUUUCGGCACAAGGAGCAGGGGGCUCCAAUCAAAACUGGUCCUCAGUCCGGACAGCCAAGUUUUUAAUUAAAUUUGUGGGAUACUUUCUUUUUAAACACCCAGUUCUCAAAUCCAGGACAUGCCUUUCCCAGGAACCAAACGAUCAUCAUAACUGUUAACAAUCAUUAUCUUAGAGACAACAAAAGGAAACAUCGAGUCAGGGAUGCUUUAAAAUGCACAAGAGAAAUCUCCAUUCGUUCCAGAAAUUCCAACCCAAUCUCUGUUUAUGGAUAGGUCAACAGUGGAAAUUCAGAACAAAAUCAAAACUCAAUCAUGCCACCAUUUUUCUAUAGACAUCAACAUUCGCAAGCAAUAUAUUACAUGUUUAACUAAAUGUGUAUGUAACAUGUACAUAUGUAUGCAGACAUGCAGUCAAAGAUUCAUGAUAGGAAAUUAGUUUGCAAUUGAAUAUAUAGUUUUAUUCCCUUAUACCAUGCUGCAGCCUAAAGAACAAUGUUACUAUACCUUGGAGAAAACCGACUUUCUUGGGAAUAUUAAAAAACUUCAAAAAGCAAGCAAGUUAUGGGGGAAAAGUUAAAGUGACAUACUAAUUUAGCAAUAUUAUGUAUUAGUAAUAACUAAGUAAAACAAAUGGAUGAAAGUUAAAUGUACCUCACUUUCGGAUGUGGAGAGCACCAAGACAACUAAAGGAGCAUCAUGUGAAGAGCUACAGACCUCAUAAAAUCUGACUCAGUUGAGGGGUGAUCAUCCAAGCAGUUGGCCCCAAAAUCAUAGCCCUCCCACCUGAUAAAAUUGGAACUUUUUGCUGAUGGCAUCUGAAUAAUAUACCUAAUUGCAUUUUUUACAUUGACCUUGAUGUGUUUUUUCGCUGUACCUCAUGUGAGAUGACAAGAUAAAAUAUAACCCAAACAAGGUGAUAAUCAUUGCAAUAUAUCCAGACUAGAUUUAUACAAGCGCAGUUAAAACCAGAAAAUGUCAAAUAUUUCAGGCUUGUGUGUUCUCCAUCAAUGAAAACAAAAUAUAGAUUCCCUGCAUGCAUGCUAGGAUUGAUAAAGGAAGUGCAAGUAAAUGAGAAAGAUGGAUGAAUUAACCAUUUAAAGAUUCACAAGCUGCUCAAUGAGCAAUGCUAAUGUGACAUAUUCCAGCCCAGAGCAACUACUUACGGCUGACCAUUAGUUCACAAUCCAACUAACAUUUAAAUGUUUUUGAAUCUA